rnacentral:rRNA from 1 species
CAGUCGCCGCGGUAAUACAGAGGGUGCGAGCGUUAAUCGGAUUUACUGGGCGUAAAGCGUGCGUAGGCGGCUAAUUGAGUCGGAUGUGAAAUCCCCGAGCUUAACUUGGGAAUUGCAUUCGAUACUGGUUAGCUAGAGUGUGGGAGAGGAUGGUAGAAUUCCAGGUGUAGCGGUGAAAUGCGUAGAGAUCUGGAGGAAUACCGAUGGCGAAGGCAGCCAUCUGGCCUAACACUGACGCUGAGGUACGAAAGCAUGGGGAGCAAACAGGAUUAGAUACCCCUGUAGUCCCUGUCUCUUAUAU